ACCAACCGUCGGUUUGGGCUUUGUGGAAUGGUGAACACAAACUAUUUUCGGGCCAGGAAAAAGUGCACCGAAGGUCCCUCAACUUGUCAGCGAGAUAAAAAACGUCCUCCAACCGCAAAACCAGAUAUACGGGGUCCCUU
rnacentral:misc_RNA from 1 species